rnacentral:lncRNA from 1 species
GGCGCCGGUAGGAAGAGUCAGAGGGGUGACCAGAGAGCCCAACGCCUGGUGCUCAAGACUUUCUCCGAGCUAUGAAACCCACGUAGUCGAACACCGUGAUGCUUCUCCUGCAGGGCGUGUGAUGAGGAGGCGAGCUUGGCUUUGGAGUGCUGGGAACCUGAGGAAUUGCCAAGGACCCAGAGCCCAGCCCUGACCACCAGAGUGCCCAAAACACAAUGAACAAAUUGAAUUUUCAUAACAACAGAGUCAUGCAAGACCGCCGCAGUGUGUGCAUUUUCCUUCCCAACGAUGAAUCUCUGAACAUCAUCAUAAAUGGAUUGUCUGAGGAUCCAAC